AAAAAAAAAAAAAAAAAAAUCCCCUUUCUCCUUUUCUUCCCCUCAUAGAGGCUGUUAAAUUUAACAUUGCAUUUUAUAGUUUGCUUUUGUUUCUAAAGUUUGAUCCUAAAUUUUGAUUAUAGAAUGCCAACUUCAACUUCCAAACCAUGCAAGAAGAUCACAACAAGGUUUCCCCCAAGAAGGGGCAAGAUCAAAGCUGAAAUAUUUAACAUCCUACUCAAGUUUGUGAAAUCCAAACUCCAUCUAUGAAUCAAAGUAACUCAUCAUUAUUAUAACAAUAUAAAUGUUGAUGUUAUAACCGGUAUAUUCUUUAAUAUAAGAAUAUACUAAAAUUGAAGCUUAUGAUAUUAAGUUAGAAGCAUCUGUGUCUGUUUGUUUUUUAAUUGCAGACAGAAGCUGCUUUUAUAGUUAAGUCAUAUAAUGUUGUCCAUCUAUAAGUAGUUAAGUACCACAUAUACUUUUUAUAUAAAGUGGAUUUGUGCUGUGAAUAACAUAACAUGGCUUGCAAAACCAAUGUUUUUGAGGUUGGGCAGGAUCGUGAUUUACAGCAUUAUUGUUGUGUUAUGCUAUCUUCUUUGUAUCUUAAAUUAUUUACUAGCUUCGCUUUCAAUGUAAUUUUCUUCUAAGUGUUAUAUAAUAAUGCAAAUCAAGUAUUA